rnacentral:rRNA from 1 species
AUUGAACGCUGGCGGCAUGCUUUACACAUGCAAGUCGAACGGUAACAGGGUGCUUGCACCGCUGACGAGUGGCGAACGGGUGAGUAAUGCGUCGGAACGUGCCGAGUAGUGGGGGAUAACGCAGCGAAAGUUGUGCUAAUACCGCAUACGUACUGAGGUAGAAAGCGGGGGAGCUUCGGGCCUCACGCUAUUCGAGCGGCCGACGUCUGAUUAGCUAGUAGGUGAGGUAAAGGCGCACCUAGGCGACGAUCGGUAGCGGGUCUGAGAGGAUGAUCCGCAACACUGGGACUGAGACACUGCCCAGACUCCUACGGGAGGCAGCAGUGGGGAAUUUUGGACAAUGGGCGAAAGCCUGAUCCAGCCAUGCCGCGUGUCUGAAGAAGGCCUUCGGGUUGUAAAGGACUUUUGUCAGGGAGGAAAUCCCUAGUGCUAAUAACACUGGGGGAUGACAGUACCUGAAGAAUAAGCACCGGCUAACUACGUGCCAGCAGCCGCCGUAA